rnacentral:rRNA from 1 species
CCCUUAGAUGUUCUGGGCCGUACGCGCGCUACACUGAUGAAUUCAACGAGCACUAACCUGUGCAGAAAUGUUCGGGUAAUCUUGUGAAAUUUCAUCGUGAUGGGGAUUGAUUAUUGCAAUUAUUAAUCAUAAACGAGGAAUGCCUAGUAAGCGUGAGUCAUCAGCUCACGUUGAUUACGUCCCUGCCCUUUGUACACACCGCCCGUCGCUCCUACCGAUUGAAUGUGCUGGUGAAAAGUUCGGAUUGGGAAUAGGAGACGGCAACGUAUCCUGUUUCUGAGAAAAUCUUUAAACCCUCCCAUUUAGAGGAAGGAGAAGUCGUAACA